UCAAUGUUCUAUGUAUAUUCAACGAUACAAUAAGAUUGUUAUCAUAAUUUCAGAUCGAUUCUUUUAGAUAUAUAUAUCUUAUACAAUAAAAGAGACUUUUGUCUCUCUAUCAGCAAGGACGGAGAGAAAUUUUAUGCCACGUGGCACUUUAAGUAUUUUCUGAUUUCGAAUGCUUUUGUUAUUUCUAGCGGGCUGGGCCUAUUGUUUUGUCUUUGUUUUAAUAUAGAUUUAUUUUUCGUUUGGGCUUUGUUUAAUUUGUCUUUAUAUUACUGUUAUACUAAUUUUAGCCCGGUUUAACCAUAAUCCUUUUAUCUCUUAGAAACUGUAGGCCUACCGAUUCUCUUUCACCUUCUCUGGCGAUGUAGCGAUGUAGUUAUGACCUUCAAUCACGUUAUCCCACUAAACUCACAACCACCCCCUCUUCAUUGAUUCUUUAAUUACACAUUUUAAAACUUAAUUUUGUGUAUAUCUACACCUUCCGAGAGCCCCUGCAAUUCCCUUACUUUCAUAAAACCUAAAAAUAUAUCGCUCAUGUUCUCUUUUAAUGGAUGAUAGUUGGCAAUUUCUCAGUUUUAUUUCUCUGAUUUGAGUCAGGCGGUUAUAGACAGUCAGUUCAGGCAAGAUUCGUAUAUGUUUCUCGGAAGCUAAUAAAGUAAUGAAAAGAGGAUAGACAAAUCCAGGAAUCAAUUAAUGUGCAACUAUUCAACACCUUAAAAAAAAUGAAGUAUCUAGCUUAAUGUUUUGUAUUUCAUAUGAAGGAGCAACCCUUACUUCCGGUUUGGAAAAAUCCAUGUUUCUAUUAGAUUUACGGAGCGAACCGUGUUGUUGAGGUCGCUGAAACCGAUUCCAGUGGAGAGUUUUGGGUUUUGCAAUUACGAACACCUUAUGGUAUUGGCCAACACCGACACAGAUUUUUUUUCCGGCAUUGCAGGACGCCUUUUCCUCAAUGCAACCUCCGGAACACAUUUCUACUUUUACCAAGAAAGUGUAACCAGCCAGAGCUUUCUGCAAGACUAUAGUAUAUUCAAACUAAAACUUUUGACAAAACUUGCGUACUUAUACCCUGUACAACACAAUCCUGCAAGGUUUUGUGGAUCUGACAUUGGUAGCUCCUCCACUCCUUCCAAGUAUGGCGGUGUACAGAAAAUUGAGUUAGCAACAAUUGUGGAGUUUAUUGUCUGUGUUGUGAAUUCACCACCUCAGGCGGUACGGUAGAAUUCCACUGCACUGGCCAAGUCGAUGACAUUGAGAAAACUGAUGGACCAAUGCUUCAUCAUCAAAGCUUUGCUUACAAGGACGUGGUGACUACCCUGGAAAUGAUAUUCUGGAUGCUGUGACUCUCACUAUUAACCCUCUCAUGUGAUGAGGAGCAGUGGUUCACAUAAUACCACAUGAAGUAACACUGCUCCAAUUUUUGAAGGAAGCAUGGCUGAGUCAGCAGUACUACCUGCUCAACCUGAUGCAUUUUUAGCACCGGAAAAGAUACCAUAGAGCCUGAGAUCUCCAACCAUAGAGAUCCAUGACAAUAUUAAUAUAGGUGAAGAACCAAUUCCACACUGAACGUGCUAAGUUUGAGUCAAUAAUUUUUCUACAUUAUAUAGAUUGUCGUCUUUUUAGUUUGCUUGGUUAUAUACUUAUAUCAUAUAUGAAUACGUUGAUCUCAUUA